GUAAUUAUCUGACUUGAAAAAGAAGCUCUUUUCCAGCUUAAUACAUUUUUGCUGUAACUGUUAUUUUUGUCUGGUUUUUGGUUUUUAAGAGACCAUGUGAGAUGUACUUAAUGAAAGCAGAGCUGCUGGCUUCUCCUCAAUACAUGUCCUAGCAUUAGCAUGCAGGGAACCGCCUCAAGGAGGACGUUAAGGGAAAACACAAACUAGGACAUGGCAACAUUUCCUUGAAGAUUUUAAGAGGCUGGACUGGUGUUCAUGAGCAUGUCUUUUGUCUUACAGCUUCAGUGGGGAAAGAAAGUCUGUGCCUGAUGGUUUUUGGUGUUUAGACCUCUGUCCUUUUUAAACAUUUUCAAAUGCCUAAAUGAAAACUCUGAGGGAGUUUCCGACUGCAUUGUUCCCAUUUCCUAGGUUCUGAUUCUAGCAUCGCCUCUAAAUCCAGUGUGACCCCGGGCAGUCUCAGCCUCCCCGGAGCUGCUGGCUUCUCCUCCCUGGUCUCCAGCCUCCCUGGUCUCCAACAGCCGUUCCCAUUUGCUGCAUUCUACCACAUGAUGCUCAAAGUCUCCUCCUAAUGGGACUCCCUGCACAGGAGCGGCUCCUGCCUACAUCUGGACUGCCUCAAUUGUGAAGGACCAGUCAAGAGGAACAGAAAUAUCUUCCAAGUGAGAACACAGCAUGCAUCUAAGCACCAAAAAAAAGAGGCGGCAAACCACCGGGUCCUGACAGGCCCCAGCAUAGGCCAGUCCAUAUGUCUGGCUAAUUAUUCAUCUGCCUGUCCCCUACCCCCAUCAAGGACACAACUCUGUGAGAAGUGAACCUCUAUCUGAUUUGCUAACAGCUGCAUAUCCAACACCUAGCAUAGAGGAGUGACUGAAUAAAUAUUGGUUAAAUGACCAAAUUAAUCCGUAAGCGACAGGAACUUGCUAACAUGGCAUGGGAGAAAAGGCCUUCUGUGGGUUUAAACAAUCGGGCAGAAGGCAGCAAAGGCUCCUGCAGUUCUUGAAUGGAUUUAUACUCAUCAUCCUUCCUGACUUUCCUCUCUCCUGCCACCUUGCCUCUGACAGAUUCCCUGAAUUGGGGUGGGGGUUUCCCUCUUUUCCUUUCCCAUUCCUCCCUGUUCUCCUGCAACCUGACUCAGCCACCGCCCCUGCCCCCAUUCACAGCCACAUCAACCCCUGUAUUCACCUGCAUUAAGUCCCACCAAAUCUAGGCUGAGGAUGUCCCUGCUGACACCAAACUCCAAGCUUGUUCCAGAUAGUCUCCUUUUCGACCCUAUCCAGCAGGUUCCUCCCAGACAGAACUGCAAUCAAACCCCACUCGGCAUCUCCCUGACAUCCUCCCUCCCACAGUCACAUUCUUUCACAACCUGACUUUCACAGAACCUUCAAACCAGAAGGAACCUGGUUCAGAGAGCAUCUUGCUUCACAGAUGGGGAAAUCAUGAUGUACUCAAGGUCCCAUAAGCUCUCUCCAUGCUGUCUCUCAGAUACAAUGCUGGUAACUACCGAUACUUCACAAGAACGGAUGGCAUUUUGCAUUUUACAAGGAUUACACGAAAGCACAGCUUCCUUGAUCUCUGUAUGGAAUCAUGACAUUAAAGGUUGAUGUGUAAUUCCUGUGGCACUGCCAACGCGGGGCCUGCAUUCCACCUAAUGGCUUUCUUUCUGGCAGCCCUCUACACCCUGCACCCCGCACCGAGAGCACUGCUCAAGCUGCCUGAGGACUGAAAGUUACAGCUACUCCUCCCACGCCAUCCCCUUGCACACAAGCUGUUAAGAGUGUAACAGUUCAACUACCCGAUGCAGCUGCUUCAGGGGAGGAAAUGUGUGGUCAUCCUUCAAACUGUCUUCACAAUACAAUGUUCUGCAAGAAAUACCAUCCAUAUUCAAACAGGCACUUGGGCAUUUGAGACUGCUAUGACCAUGAAUGCUUUAGUACUCAUGAACUUUCAAGAAGUUUUUUUAAAAAAGCAGGAUCUUGUUACCCCUGGCUUGUUUUCUUAUUAGUUUAUGUGGGGAAUGAAGUAAACAGAAUGUGCUAGACAUACAUCCUGUAAUGAGGCUAUUGGUCAUUUAUGGGCACCUCCUUUGGGUUCUAGUUACCUCAUUCUCAACAGCUAUAAAGGUUUGUGGACCCCUGAUUGUA